UACGGAGGGUGCAAGCGUUAUCCGGAUUCACUGGGUUUAAAGGGUGCGUAGGCGGGCAGGUAAGUCAGUGGUGAAAUCUCCGGGCUUAACUCGGAACGGUCAACUGAUACUGUCGGACUAGAGUGCAGAAGGGGCAACUGGAAUUCUCGGUGUAGCGGUGAAAUGCGUAGAUAUCGAGAGGAACACCUGCGGCGAAGGCGGGUUGCUGGGCUGACACUGACGCUGAGGCGCGAAAGCUAGGGGAGCGAACGGG
rnacentral:rRNA from 1 species